rnacentral:rRNA from 1 species
GACGAAGGGGGCUAGCGUUGUUCGGAAUUACUGGGCGUAAAGCGCGUGUAGGCGGUUGUUCAAGUCGGGUGUGAAAGCCUUGAGCUCAACUCAAGAAAUGCACUCGGUACUGGAUGACUAGAGGACCGGAGAGGAUAGUGGAAUUCCCAGUGUAGUGGUGAAAUACGUAGAGAUUGGGAAGAACACCAGUGGCGAAGGCGGCUCACUGGCCCGGAACUGACGCUGAGGUGCGAAAGCGUGGGGAGCAAACAGG